rnacentral:rRNA from 1 species
AGGCCCUUCGGGGGUCACGAGCGGCGAACGGGUGAGUACGCAGUGGGUAUCUGCCUGGAAGUGGGGGAUAGCCGCGGGAAACCGGGGAUAAUACCGCAUAUGUCCGCGAGGACAAAGAUGGGGAUCUUCGGACCUGUCGCUUCCGGAUGAGCCCGCGUCCGAUUAGCUUGUUGGUGGGGUAAUGGCCCACCAAGGCCACGAUCGGUAGCCGGCCUGAGAGGGUGAGCGGCCACAUUGGGACUGAGACACGGCCCAGACUCCUACGGGAGGCAGCAGUGGGGAAUUUUGGGCAAUGGGGGCAACCCUGACCCAGCGACGCCACGUGGAGGAUGACGGCCUUCGGGUUGUAAACUCCUGUCAGGUGGGAAGAACUCCUGUUGGUGAAUAGCCUUCAGGUCUGACUGUACCACCAAAGGAAGCCCCGGCUAACUCCGUGCCAGCAGCCGCGGUAAUACGGAGGGGGCAAGCGUUAUUCGGAUUUACUGGGCGUAAAGCGCACGUAGGUGGCAAGGCAAGUCGAAGGUGAAAGCCCCCGGGUCAACCGGGGAGGUGCCUUUGAAACUGUUUUGCUUGAGUCCGGGAGGGGGGAGCAGAAUUCCCAGUGUAGCGGUGAACUGCGUAGAUACUGGGAGGAAUACCGGUGGCGAAAGCGGCUCCCUGGACCGGUACUGACACUGAGGUGCGAAAGCGUGGGUCACAAACAGGAUUAGAUACCCUGGUAGUC